UAGGGAAUCUUCCACAAUGGACGAAAGUCUGAUGGAGCAACGCCGCGUGAGUGAAGAAGGGUUUCGGCUCAUAAAACUCUGUUGUUAAAGAAGAACGAUAUCUGAGAGUAACUGUUCAGGUAUUGACGGUAUUUAACCAGAAAGCCACGGCUAACUACGUGCCAU
rnacentral:rRNA from 1 species